rnacentral:rRNA from 1 species
GACGAACGCUGGCGGCGUGCUUAACACAUGCAAGUCGAACGGUAAGGCCCUUCGGGGUACACGAGUGGCGAACGGGUGAGUAACACGUGGGUGAUCUGCCCUGCACUUUGGGAUAAGCCUGGGAAACUGGGUCUAAUACCGAAUACACCCUGCUGGUCGCAUGGCCUGGUGGGGGAAAGCUUUUGCGGUGUGGGAUGGGCCCGCGGCCUAUCAGCUUGUUGGUGGGGUGAUGGCCUACCAAGGCGACGACGGGUAGCCGGCCUGAGAGGGUGUCCGGCCACACUGGGACUGAGAUACGGCCCAGACUCCUACGGGAGGCAGCAGUGGGGAAUAUUGCACAAUGGGCGCAAGCCUGAUGCAGCGACGCCGCGUGAGGGAUGACGGCCUUCGGGUUGUAAACCUCUUUCAAUAGGGACGAAGCGCAAGUGACGGUACCUAUAGAAGAAGCACCGGCCAACUACGUGCCAGCAGCCGCGGUAAUACGUAGGGUGCGAGCGUUGUCCGGAAUUACUGGGCGUAAAGAGCUCGUAGGUGGUUUGUCGCGUUGUUCGUGAAAACUCACAGCUUAACUGUGGGCGUGCGGGCGAUACGGGCAGACUGGAGUACUGCAGGGGAGACUGGAAUUCCUGGUGUAGCGGUGGAAUGCGCAGAUAUCAGGAGGAACACCGGUGGCGAAGGCGGGUCUCUGGGCAGUAACUGACGCUGAGGAGCGAAAGCGUGGGGAGCGAACAGGAUUAGAUACCCUGGUAGUCCACGCCGUAAACGGUGGGUACUAGGUGUGGGUUUCCUUCCUUGGGAUCCGUGCCGUAGCUAACGCAUUAAGUACCCCGCCUGGGGAGUACGGCCGCAAGGCUAAAACUCAAAGAAAUUGACGGGGGCCCGCACAAGCGGCGGAGCAUGUGGAUUAAUUCGAUGCAACGCGAAGAACCUUACCUGGGUUUGACAUGCACAGGACGCCGGCAGAGAUGUCGGUUCCCUUGUGGCCUGUGUGCAGGUGGUGCAUGGCUGUCGUCAGCUCGUGUCGUGAGAUGUUGGGUUAAGUCCCGCAACGAGCGCAACCCUUGUCUCAUGUUGCCAGCACGUUAUGGUGGGGACUCGUGAGAGACUGCCGGGGUCAACUCGGAGGAAGGUGGGGAUGACGUCAAGUCAUCAUGCCCCUUAUGUCCAGGGCUUCACACAUGCUACAAUGGCCGGUACAAAGGGCUGCGAUGCCGUGAGGUGGAGCGAAUCCUUUCAAAGCCGGUCUCAGUUCGGAUCGGGGUCUGCAACUCGACCCCGUGAAGUCGGAGUCGCUAGUAAUCGCAGAUCAGCAACGCUGCGGUGAAUACGUUCCCGGACCU